rnacentral:snoRNA from 10 species
CAAGGGAAUCCGACCCGCAGCGAUCAGACCCCGCCCCUUCAGGGAGAACACGGCCCGUUGGCCCCGCUCACGGCGAGAGCACCGCCCACAGGCUGAAGAUCCUGCCCCUUCAGGACGGCCGAGAACGCGCCUGCCUUGCACCACCCCCACCCCGCCCCGCGUCCUUCAGGAGAGCCGGAAACGCUCCUACCCCUACUUCGCUUCUGCACGGCCGCGAGAACGCACCUGUCCAGCCCCCUGUUCGCUCCGCCCACUCAGCGCGCGCGGGAGCGCGCGCGGGAGCAGCUCCAACUUUUUCAAUUUGCCGCCAUCUUUACGGCGGCCGACUUCCCAGCCUGCCUCGCGUCCAGGGAGGCGGAGCUCAGAUGAGGUCCGGGGAAUGAGGUGAUUCGCCCAAAAGCACACUACAAAUUGGAGUCACCAGCAGGUCUGCUAUUUUGCCACUAAACCAAUCUGCCGGUCACACCUUGGCUGUAAAGUGUCCUAACAGCCACCUACUUAUGAUUACUGCUUUCUUACCAAUAACCUCCCCAGCCUGUUGUGUGGCUCCUACAUCUUGAACAAAAGCGACCAAGGCAUACAUCUGUAGGAGACCAGAAUAUGCCACCCCAAAAUAUGCCUCCUUGGCCUAAGGAUUAUUCUGAGCUAGUAAUUUUGAGAAACAGAAGCUAUGAAAACAGCAUAAGCUACCCCUUUGAAAGAGAAAUUCACCCCGGCCACCACCCCGUCUGGGAAGUGAGGAGCGUCUCUGCCCAGCCGCCCCGUCUGAGAAGUGAGGAGCCCCUCCGCCCGGCAGCCGCCCCGUCUGGGAAGUGAGGAGCCCCUCUGCCCGGCCGCCAGGCCGUCUGGGAGGUGUGCCCAACAGCUCAUUGAGAACGGGCCAUGAUGACGAUGGCGGUUUUGUCGAGUAGAAAGUGGGGAAAUGUGGGGAAAGGAAGGAGAGAUCAGAUUGUUGCUGUGUCUGUGUGGAGAGAAGUAGACACAGGAGACUCCAUUUUGUUAUGUACUAAGAAAAAUUCUUCUGCCUUGGGAUGCUGUUAAUCUAUAACCUUACCCUCAGCCCCAUGCUCUCUGAAACAUGUGCUGUGUCCACUCAGGGUUAAAUGGAUUAAGGGCGGUGCAAGAUGUGCUUUGUUAAACAGAUGCUUGAAGGCAGCAUGCUCGUUAAGAGUCAUCACCACUCCCUAAUCUCAAGUACCCAGGGACACAAACACCGGAAGGCCGCAGGGUCCUCUGCCUAGGAAAACCAGAGACCCUUGUUCACAUGUUUAUCUGCUGACCUUCCCUCCACUAUUGUCCUAUGACCCUGCCAAAUCCCCCUCUCUGAGAAACACCCAAGAAUGAUCAAUAAAUACUAAAAAAAAAAAAAGAGAAACUCACAGUCUUAAAAGAAAUCGCUCUUUGUAAGGGUGUCUCCCUCUCUGUACCAGGAAGAGAAAGUUGACUCUAAAUCACCAGAGACCCUUAUCAAUGGAGAAGGCAGCAACUUGUUUUGUGUGCUUCUCCGGGUCUUUUUCCCAAAACUGGCCUUCCUCACUCCCUUCUUUGUUUUUAGCUGAAGAUGGUACUUAAACCUGAAUUCUAAGCCACUCCUUUGAGAAUUACUCAUUUUCUUGGGCAUCUCACAUGUAUAUGCAAAGUAUACAUGUUAAUAUAGCUCCAUUUGUUUUUCUCCUGUUAAUCUUUUGAGCUGGGCAUGGUGGCUCCCGCCUAUAAUCCCAACAUCUUGGGAGGCCAAGGCAAGAGGAUUGCUUGAACCCAGGAGCUGGAGAUCAGCCUGGGCAACAUGACAGGAGCCCAUCUCUACGAAAUAAAAAAUUAAAAAAUUAGGGCCAGGCGCAGUGGCUGACACUUGUAAUCCCAGCACUUUGGGAAGCCGAGGCAGGUGGAUCACAAGGUCAGGAGUUCAAGACCAGCGUGGCCAAGAUGGUGAAACCCCCGCCUCUACUAAAAAUACAAAAAUUAGCCAGGCAUGGUGGCAAGCGCCUGUAAUCCCAGCUACUCGGGUGGCUGAGGCAGGAGAAUUGCUUGAACCCGGGUGGCAGAGGUUGCAGUGAGCCGAGAUCAUGCCACUGCACUCCAGCCUGGGUGACAGAGCAAGACUCUGUCUCAAAAAUAAAUAAAUAAAUAGCCAGGUGUUGUGGCAAGCUCCUGUAGUCCCAGUUACUUGGGAGGCUGAGAUGGGAGGAUCACUUGAGCCUGGGGGUGUGGAGGUUGCAGUGAGCCAUGAUAGCACCACUGUGCUCUAGCCUGGGAGACACAGUGAGACCCUGUCUCAAAAAAAAAAAAUCUAUCUUUUGUUACAAGGACUCUAGCUGAGAAUUUAGAAGGGUAGCAAGAAAAUUCAUCUUUCCUCCCCUAAAUAUGCUACUGAUAGAGGCGGGAGACAGCCAAAUGCCAUCCAGGUCAUUAUGCACAGGGGGCUUGCCUAAACAUGCCUACAGUGAAAAAUUCUAUCCCUUAACACAUGUGCAGUAAGGGAAAUAAAUCAGUGUGGAGUGGCUCAGAUUAGAGGCCUACAUGUGCACUGGGGAAAUGGGGUGGAGCCACCAGGAAUUCAUGCUUUAUGCAGGGGAGCCGGGCUUCUUCAGCUCCAGUAUGGUGGCCUGAUAUUCAGUCUGUGGAGUAGGAGCCUGUUGGCAGGACCACCUCUUUGCUAAGGGCUUUCUUUUCACUUAAUACAUUCUGACCCUUCAAUGUGUCCAUGUGCCUAAUUUUUCCUGAUCGGGAGACAAGAGCCCAGAUUUUAGCUGAACUAAGAAGAAAAAUAUCGUGCGUCACUAGUUGGCCUGGAAGAACAAUGGAAUUACUCAUUUGAGAUGUGGGUUUGAAGAAAGUUAUUUUUAGUAUUCUGAUAAGCAGUUAAAAUACUGCUGUCAUGUUUCUCUCUUUGUGCCAGUCUCAUGCAGUUUCCCAGCAAAAUCACAAUUAAACUGAUAAUGUGAUUUUUAUGUUUUGGCAUCCUUUCAGAUUUUGUUUUUUUUGUUUUGUUUUUGAGACGGGGUCUGGGUGUGUCACCCAAGCUGGAAUGCAUUGGCAUAAUCACAGCUCAUUGCAGCCUCAACCUCUGGGGCUCAAGUGAUCUUCCCACCACCUCAGCCUCCUGAGUAGCUGGGACUAUCAGCGGACGCCACCAUGACUGGCUAAUUUUUAAACUUUUUGUAGAGACGGGUUUUGUGAUGUUGCUCAAGCUGGUCUUGAACUCCUGGGCUAAAGCAAUCCUCCUGUCUGAGCCUCCUGAAGUGCUGGGAUUACAGGCCACGAUGUCUGGCCUCUAAUUACUUUGAUAAUAAGUAAGCAUCUCCCCUUCUCUUUUUUUUCUGAGACAGAGUCUCACUCUAUUGCCCAGGCUGGAGUGCAAUGGCACAAACUUGGCUUUGCCUCCUGGGUUCAAGCAACCUCUGCCUCCCAGGUUCAAGCAAUUCUCCUGCCUCAGCCUCCCAAGUAGCUGGGAUCACAGGCGUGUGCUACCAUGCCCGGCUAAUUUUUUGUAUUUUUAGUAGAGAUGGCGUUUCACCAUGUUGGCCAGCCUGCUCUUGAACUCCUAACCUGCCUUCCAAAGUAUUGGGAUUACAGGUGUGAGCCACCACGCCUGGCUCUUUGUUGUUUGUUUUUGAGCUGGAGUCUCGCUGUGUCACCCAGGCUGGAGUACAGUGGCGCCAUCUCGGCUUACUGCAACCUCCACCUCCUGAGUUCAAGCGAUUCCCCUGCCUCAGCCUCCUGAGUAGCUGGGACCGCAGGCAUGCACUACCACACCCAGCUAAUUUUUGUAUUUUUAGUAGAGACGGGGUUUCACCAUGUUGGCCACGCUGGUCUUGGAACUCCUGACCUCAGGUGAUCCGCUCACCUCAGCCUCCCAAAGUGCUGGGAAUACAGGUGUGAGCCACCGCGCCUGGCCGCAUCCCCCACUUCUCUAGUGAAUUUUUUGGGGUUAUCACUGUGUUAAAAAGCUCUUCUCUUUGAGUCCCUUGGGAGAUCCCACUUUCUUCAGUAACACACCUUCUCUGGCCCUUCGUAGCUAUUUACUUUCCCAGUACUCUUUCAUCAUCUUGAAACCACCAUUGCAAAAUUAUAACUGAGACAGUGACAGAGAUCUGACCGAACCAACUCCAUCUUGCUUCUAACUUCCAAGCUGUCCUUGUUCAUUCCUGAGUGUAGGCUGAACUAACUUUGGGAGGAACUUAGUUUAUAGUUUAAAAGAAAGACAAUAAUAGCCCUUUCCCAAAACAAACCCCCAUCUUGCCUGGGGACCAGAAUGCCUUUGUAGGAGUAACAAAUUAGCCAAAAGAUUAGAAAUUAUGAUUUAGGAGUCAUGCAGCUAGAGGCUACAGGAUUCUGACCCUCCCCAAAUUGCUCCCGGGAAUAACAUCACUGAAGUCUAAGAUCAGUGCUUGAGAUAUUUUGCAGACCUCGCACUGGAUGGAUCAGCUGGCACCACCCAGAUCGAUAAACUGGCUCAUCAGAUCUUGUGGCCCCCACCCAGGAACUGACUCAAGCACAAGACAGCUUCAAUUCCCUAUGAUUUCAUCUCUGACCCGAUCAAUCAGCACUCCUGACUCACUGGAUGCCACCCACCCUCCAAAUUAUCCUUAAAAACUGUGACCUCCAAAUGCUUGGGGAGACUCAUUUGAGUAAUAAAAAAAGUCCCAGUUUCCCACACAGCUGGCUCUGCAUGAAUUAUUCUUUCUCUAUUGCAAUUCACCUGUCUUGAUAAAUUGGUUCUGCCUAGGCAGCAGGCAAGGUGAACCUGUUGGGCCAUUACAAUCUCAUAGCAGUGGCAGAAUGGACAGACCAGUGAACCCUGUGCUAGGACAACCUGCACCAGGCCCUGGCUGUUGUAGGAGGUCCUUUUUUUUUUUUUUUUUUUUGAGAUGGAGUUUCACUCUUGUUGUCCAGGCUAGAGUGCAAUGGCGCGAUCUCGGCUCACCGCAACCUCCGCCCCCUGGGUUCAAGCAAUUCUCCUGCCUCAGCCUCCCAAGUAGCUGGGAUUACAGGCAGGCACCACCACGCCCGGCUCAUUUUGUAUUUUUAGUAGAGACCGGGUUUCUCCAUGUCAGUCAGGCUAGCCCCAAAUUCCUGACCUCAGGUGAUCCACCCGCCUCCCCGCCUCGGCCUCCCAAAGUGCUGGGAUGACAGGCAUAAGCCACCGCGCCCAGCCUGUUGUAGGAGGUCUUGAACAAACCACUUAACUUGUUUGGGUGGGGCUUAGUUUCCACGUUAGUAAUCUGGAAGUAACAGUUCUGCCUUAUCUGUCUGUUAGGGUUUUGACACUUAGUGAAGUAUGGGAUUUGUAUACUGUAAAGUGAUUGAAUGUAUUUACUAGGUGCAAUACAUAAAAUACGAGUUUCAAGCACUGCUCUGCUUUUACUUAUAGAACCACGUUCUCACUUUUCUAGCCUGAUCAUUCAAGACCCUUGAACACAUCGUCCUUAUCUCCCGCUCCUCAUUGAGACCCUUCCAGAACACUACAAACUUGUAAUACUUAGCUGUAUCACCAGCAAACCAUGUCCUUCCCAAUUUCAGGACCUUUCAAUGUGCUUUCCUCUGCCUGGGGGUGGGUGGGGGGUGGAGAGUAGUUUCCUCCCAACCCAUGAAACCUCUCCACAAAGGUAGAAGAGACAGAAAACCAUUACUGAAUAAGUAUUAAACCAGAUUGUGAUGCCGUACAUCACAUGCAACCUGCUAAAGGCAACACAAAGACAGAAACUCACUUUUUCUAUGCAGCUAAGUAGAGAUAGCCCAUCACAUUAUGUAGGUUUUGCAAUUUGGAGUCAGGUGCCAAGUUAAGCCUUUGUCCUCCUAAGAAGCUGGACUCUUGGCCCUUUCGUCCCUUAACAAUUGCAUUUUUUUCUUUCUUUGUUUUUGAGACAGAGUCUCGCUCUGUCUCCAGGCUGGAGUGCAGUGGUGCUAUGUCGGCUCACUGCAACCUCCGCCUCCCGGGUUCAAGCGAUUCUCCUGCCUCAGCCUCCCGAGUAGCUGGUACUACAGGCACGCUUCACCAUGCCCAGCUAAUUUUUGUAUUUUUAGUAGGGACAGAGUUUCACCAUGUUGGCCAGGAUGGUCUCGAUCUCUUGAUCUUGUGAUCCGCCCGCCUCAGCCUCCCAAAGUGCUGGGAUUGCAGGCGUGAGCCACCGCACCCAGCCAACAAUUACACUUCAAGGAGAUGGCUCCCAAGAAACAUUCCUGAGUUGAACCUGGCCAUAUAAGAAAAAGACUUGAGUACAUUUGGAAAGGAGAGAGGCUGAAAUUUUGAAAGAAAAAGGGAGGGGGAUGGUUUCUCGUCCCUUCUUUUCCUCAGGGAAAAUUAAACCCUAUGUAUAAUUUGUAUUUGCCCUUCCACCUGCAUCACCUUUCCCACAUGCUCCCACAGGCAGGCUCCUGUUCAUUCCCAAGGCUCCGUGUCCACAUCGUGCUUGGAUUCCGCCCGGCCCCGCCUGUGCGGCCGCACCAGGAAGGCACCACCCAUUAGGGGCUCAGCGCGUCCCUCCAGGCCACGCCGUCAGGCCUCCGUCCUUUUAGCUGUAGGGGCAGAUUACGUAACUCCAGCCUUCUGGUCACUAAAGGAGGGUAACAAAGGGCGGUCGAGAGACUCCACUGAGUUGACACGCAGACGCAGCCUCAGGACCCUAAACUCUACGCCCCAGCACACCCUACCAAGCGAGCGCCCGCGGCCGCGUGACGUCAUCUACCCCAAACGCUGUGGCCCCGGCCACGCACGGCUUCGGGGCGGGACUACGCGGUGACGUCGAGGUGCGCGGCGCAGCGCGCGGCGUCAGUCUUGGCUGGCAGACCUGUACUCCGUACUCCGUACUUCGUAGUCGCAGCGGCGCGGUCUUCGGCAGUCUAGUCAUCCACCGCCAUCCUGGGCCCCACGUGUUGCCUGACCAUUCCUGAGCCCAGGUGGGAGCCGUGGCUGAGGUGACGGUCUCAAAGUGGAAGAGCUUACUGUCACAGCAACUCCUUUGCAAGAUGCCCCGGUAAAUCACGUUGCAGAGACCCCAACUCUGCCUUCCUGGAACUAGGCCUGCGUUUUCUCUGAACCAUUAUUUCAUGGGGAAAAUGAAAUCUACUUCAUGUGCCUGGUCUACUUACUCCUUCAGAAGUGAUUUCUGAGCCGUAAGAUACAUGAGAAAAAAAUGAAGGGGAAAAGGCAGUAUUUAUAUUAACUACAUGAUGAUAAGGAUGUUUCUGGUCACAGUGAAAAGCCAUGCUAGAAUUGUAGUGUCAUAGAAUAAUGUGGAAGUUUAGUUCGUGUUGUCUGAUCUAUUUAAUAAUUUAAUAAGGUUAUCUCUUCCAAGACACCUUCCCUUCUUCCUCAGCCAGAAAGGAUCUUUCCCUGAGAGUCAUUAGUAGCUCUGGGCUCCUGGAACCAAGCUCAGGUGCCUAAUUGAACUCUGGUCUCUUCCCACAGCCCCCAGCAGGGACUGGUGCUUAGUGAGAGUGGACUGCCAGAUUCCUUGAGUGUGGGGGAUUUGGGUGAAUGAGGGUAGCAAGCCUCCAGCGUGCUUGGGUCUGCGGUGACCCUAUGCAUUCCUUCAGUGCUUGCUAGAACAGUUUUGAAACGGUUUGAGGCCUUGCCCUGCUCCAUCCAGAGCAAGGUUAUAGAAAUUUCAGACAAUGACUUCCUCCCUCCUGGAUCUAGUGUCCUGGGCCUUGUAUAGAUCCGUGCCAUCUAAUGUGGUAGCCACUUGGCACACAUGAUUAAAUUAAAUUUGGAGUUUUAUUUCAUUUUCACACUAGCCACAUUUCAGAUGAUCAGUAGCCACAGGUGGCCAGUGGCUACCAUAUUGGACCGCACAGAUUAGAGGGCAUUUCUGUCGCUGUGGAAGUUGUUUUGGACAAUGCUGGUGUGAAAGGUGAAGGGAAUCCUGAGUGUUUGCUGUGCUCCAGGCUCAGUACAAAUUUUAUUUUAUUAUACACUUAAAGCAAAAGUCUUAUAAAAGUUGAGGAUGAAGCCAAGAGUGGUGGUAAGGGUAGGAGUUGAAACAGUGAAGAGGAAUAACAGGGAAGAGUCCUGCCCUGAGAGACUCAUGGAAUAGGAUAUUUACAAGGCAAAGCAAAGAGAACCAAAGUCUCAGUUCUGCAGAGGAGCUGAGUGCCCCAGGAGCUAGUGGAGGGUGAGGUCAAUGUGUGCUCAUCUUAAAGGAAAAACUCAUGGAAGAGGAAGGUGCUAAUGUUGAACACCUAUUUUGCGCCAGACCUCUUAAUUGUUUUAAAUCUUUGAGGUAUCAUCAUGAGGUCGUUUUUAAGUUCAGUACAGAUGAGGGGCCCAAGGUCAGAAUUAUGUGUCCAGGGUUGCCCAGCCACAAACCAGCAGAUCAGGGUUUGAUGCCAGGCCUCUCUAACCCUGCAUCCUGAGUGGAAUAUAGAAGCCGGUGGGAAGUUUGGAUGGGAAGGAGAUGGAUGCCUUCAAGUUCUUGUCUUGGUGUUAGGUGUGUUAAAGGACUGGCUGGGAUGAGAAGAGUGUUGCUGGCUUGAGCAUAGCACGAGCAGCACAGCUCCUGUGUUCCUCUGGGUGGUGGGGUCACCUCUCUUAAAGGUAGAGGCUUUCAGCUGAUUCUGUCUUUUCAGGCCAGGAAUAGUUGCUGAACACCCCAGGCCUGCUGAGGUCCCUCCUUGAGUCUCAUGUUCAAGCAGUCUUGUGAGUAAAGCACUGGCUACCCCUUUUCACUUACUAUCUUUUCAAGCAUGUUCUACCACCUUGGAAGGUAAGAGGUUAGUACCUUCUUCCAGAGCAGAGGGCAGGCAUUCUUGCUGUGCGUUGUGAAAGGGUAGAGUCCUGCGCUCCUUUCUUGUAGUAGUCCAAUGGCUCAUGCAGGUGCCUCUGACUCCCCUAUGGGAACUGGGGCUUGGGAGGGUGGUGGAAAAUGCUGAUGCUCUGGCUAUUGCUAUUGUUUUGAAUAAUCAGUGGUCCCUUGUCCCUAAUCGAGGAAUUUUGUAUUUUCUACCAGUGUCCAUGAAACUGGGAGGCGACCGUGUUAGCUGCCAGUUCCUGACAGCCACCUCUCACCAGUGGCUUCACUCUGUGUCCCUGACCCAGCACAUGGCACAAGAGUGCCUGCCAUCCGUCAGUGUUUCUACAGCAGCAAUCCCAAGAUGCUGGAGCUAGAGGGGACCUGACCUGAGAGAAGAUACCUUCAGUGGCUGCCAGGCUGUUCCUUGGAACCUGUGCAGGGAUGAGGCCUGCCUGUGUUAAUACACCUAGUGAGGAGUGGAGCUGAAUUUGAAUGCAAGCCUUGGCACCUUAAUUGAGCAAGUUUGAAACCUCGCUUGUUGCCCUUCUGGAAGGAGUCAGGAAUUUCCAGUUCUGGGCCUGGGCUGUGGGUCUGGCAGACAGACCUCUGGCCCUAGGUUUGGGUGCCAGGUUCUCUGCUUCCAGAAUGAGAAGCUUUGCUGUGCACCAGGACCUGGGCCCUUCUGGUAUCUCCUGAAUGAAAAACAAGGGAUAUUUAAUAAAUAUGGAUUUAAAUAUGUGA